ensembl:lncRNA
UUUUUUUUUUUUUUUUUUUUGUCUUUUUAGGGUCACACCCACGGCAUAUGGAUGUUCCCAGGCUAGAGGGGUCGAAUUGGAGCUGUAGCCACCGGCCUACGCCAGAGCCACAGAAACGCAGGAUCCGAGCCGCGUCUGCAACCUACACCACAGCUCAUGGCAACGCCGGAUUGUUAACCCACUGAGCAAGGGCAGGGACCGAACCCGCAACCUCAUGGUUCCUAGUCGGAUUCGUUAAGCACUGCACCACGACAGGAACUCCAUAUUUUUAUUUUAUUUUAUUUUAUUUGGCUUUUUAGGGCCUGCAGGUAUGGCAUAUGGAGGUUCCAGGCUAGGGGUUGAAUCAGAGCUACAGCUGCCAGCCUACACCACAGCCACAGCAACUCCAGAUCCAAGCCGUGUCUGCGACCCACACCACAACUCACAGCAAUGCUGGAUCAUUAACCCACUAAGCAAGGCCAGGGGUCGAACCCACAUCCUCAUAGAUCCUAGUCGGGUUCAUUACUGCUGAGCCACAACGGGAACUCCCUCUGCCAGCACUUUUACAUUUAUGCUUUUCCUCAUUUCUUUUGCCAUUUUCUAAACACUUGGUUACAUUUUUUAUUUGCUGUUUUGAGUUAUUUUUCUUAGGUGCCCCAAAUUAUAAGCACUUUGAUCCCACAAAAUAUUGAUCCUCUCCUAUAUAAAUAGCCCAACGAGUGUCUCACUGCUUUGCUUUACUUGUGGUAUGCCCAUCUAUCCAGCAUAAAUGACCCAAACGUUAGAAGGAUGGGCUGUGUUUCUCACUAUACAGUCUUGGCACUUUUCGUGGCCCUUGUCCAAGUCACCAGAUCACACUCUUCGUCAUUACUGUUAAUAGCAACAGAUUAAAAUGUGACCAUUAAAAGCCAUCUUGGCUCUGCUUCUGCCUGAGUUAAUGAGUUGAGAGAGGAGAAGUUCGAAGAGGAGAACUCUAAAGCAGGCGCUGGAGACAGCGUCUCCUUUUCUACCCUUUCUCCAAAAACUUUACUGGUUUUAUUUCCCAUUUGCUCAGCCAAGUGUGCUGUCUCUCCUUGACCUUGAGAGGUGACUGUUAGACAUGCGCAAGAGAAGAACAUGAAAGCCUCCAGAUAAACUUGACACUGACACAACACACAGGGUCCAAGUCAUUUGUUUUCUUUGACAGGACUGUGCCAGGCUGAAUGGAAGGAGAAAAGACCAUCAGUAAAGCAAAUGGCUCAAAUGGAGUUAUAAAUCAACUCUGUACUCUUCAGGAUUUAUUCAGCUCAAGAUACGUCCAAUUCCAGGCCCUGAUGGCUUUUUCUUUUUGCUUGCAUCGAGAAAUAACAGUUAAUAUAGUUAACUUUCCCAAGGCAGAAGAGUAUUAUUAAAAAAGAAGACAAUGUUAUUGAUUUCUCAAGACACCAUCAGAUAUUUUAAGAUUUGGAUUUGAUAAAACAUAAUAUGAUUUCUUUUAUGGGAGUUCUGUUGUUUUCCCAGUCUUUAUUACCCUGUGUGUUUCAUAUUUCAAAAUGAGACUAUCCUACUAAUAUCAACUGAUUGGAUCCUGAUCUAAGUUACAAAAAGCCAUAGUCUUUAUAGCCACAUUGUCACUUUCCCCCAGUUACCUCUUUCUGUAAGCAGAUAGGGUAGGAGGUCUCUAGAGAAAGAGAACCAGGCAUGGCUUUCCUGACGUAAGAGAAGCCAUUUUUGGCCUAAGCCAUCUUGUGAUCUCAGUCGGGCCACAAUGCUUGCCCUGGAACGGUAAUUAAUGAUCUUAUGGGGACAAAAGAAUACAGAAACAAAGGACUUAUCAGGCAAGAGAAGUAACAAGAACAAAGAUAUUGUUAUCAGCUAAAAAGACUCCCGGUUCUCUUUCAAAGGUGAAGACUAGGCUAAAGCAUUGUCUUGGGCCAUUUUGCAGACUUUAAAUCCCCUCUCAUCCACUAGAUCAUCCAGAAUCUAAUGGAUGAUGACCCUGACCUUUUCUGAUGCUGCUUGUGACUUAAAUCAUGACUCAAAUCUUAAAGCUUGGACUCUGCCUACACCCAAGCUCCUUCAUGAAUAUGCAUGUACCCAUAGCUUAAAAUUUCCCAAAUUUUGCUGUUCAAGGAGGCACUGCUUUGGGGAGGAUCCCCCAUGUUCUUGCUGGCUCCACAUGAUAAAUCCUUCCUUCUCCCACACUUUGACUUGGUUGCAAUUUUGGGCUCAACGCCUACCAAGAGGCCAACCUGGUUUUUGGGUAACAUUUCUACAUGAAUAAGCCUACUUUAUACUUACUUAUAUUCUUCUGUAUACACAGUAUUUAUUAUAUAUACACAGUAUAAUGUGAUAUGUUGUAUAAGAGAAAAGAUUGGAGUAGCAAGGAUACCUAGGCUGGUUUGGGAGAGGGUGGAAAAAAAAAAAAAAA